UACGUAGGGUGCGAGCGUUGUCCGGAAUUACUGGGCGUAAAGAGCUCGUAGGUGGUCUGUCGCGUCAUUUGUGAAAGCCCGGUGCUUAACUCCGGGUUGGCAGGUGAUACGGGCAUGACUGGAGUACUGUAGGGGAGACUGGAAUUCCUGGUGUAGCGGUGAAAUGCGCAGAUAUCAGGAGGAACACCGGUGGCGAAGGCGGGUCUCUGGGCAGUAACUGACGCUGAGGAGCGAAAGCAUGGGUAGCGAA
rnacentral:rRNA from 1 species